GAUGAACGCUGGCGGCGUGCCUAAUACAUGCAAGUCGAGCGAACAGAUGAGGAGCUUGCUCCUCUGACGUUAGCGGCGGACGGGUGAGUAACACGUGGAUAACCUACCUAUAAGACUGGGAUAACUUCGGGAAACCGGAGCUAAUACCGGAUAAUAUAUUGAACCGCAUGGUUCAAUAGUGAAAGACGGUUUUGCUGUCACUUAUAGAUGGAUCCGCGCCGCAUUAGCUAGUUGGUAAGGUAACGGCUUACCAAGGCAACGAUGCGUAGCCGACCUGAGAGGGUGAUCGGCCACACUGGAACUGAGACACGGUCCAGACUCCUACGGGAGGCAGCAGUAGGGAAUCUUCCGCAAUGGGCGAAAGCCUGACGGAGCAACGCCGCGUGAGUGAUGAAGGUCUUCGGAUCGUAAAACUAUGUUAUUAGGGAAGAACAAAUGUGUAAGUAACUAUGCACGUCUUGACGGGACCUAAUCAGAAAGCCACGGCUAACUACGU
rnacentral:rRNA from 1 species